ACCAAUUACUAGGAUAUUGAUUUUGAUUAUAUUUUAAAACUUGUAUGUGGGUUGAAAUUCAUGAACUAGGACGGUUUGAGGC